rnacentral:rRNA from 1 species
CAAAUUUGAAAGCUGUUGCCUUUGGUAACCGCAUUGUAAUCUCGAGAUCUGUUUUCCGCGCUGGACCAUGUACAAGUCCCUUGGAAUAGGGCGUCAUAGAGGGUGAGAAUCCCGUACUUGACAUGGCCUCCCAGUGCUUUGUGAUACAGGCUCAACGAGUCGAGUUGUUUGGGAAUGCAGCUCAAAAUGGGUGGUAAAUUCCAUCUAAAGCUAAAUAUUGGGGAGAGACCGAUAGCGAACAAGUACCGUGAGGGAAAGAUGAAAAGCACUUUGGAAAGAGAGUUAAACAGUACGUGAAAUUGUCAAAAGGGAACCGUUUAAAGUUAGUCAUGCUUGCCUGGACUCAGCCUUGCUUUUGCUUGGUGCAUUUCCAGGUUAGCAGGUCAGCAUCGGUUUUGACUGCUGGAUAAGGGUGAGAGGAAUGUGGCACCCUAGGGUGUGUUAUAGCCUUUCACUGGAUGCAGC